rnacentral:rRNA from 1 species
GAGGAAAGAGGGGGGAGGGAGGAACACAGGCAAGUCGAACGGUGAAGGCGGAGCUUGCUCUGCUGGAUCAGUGGCGAACGGGUGAGUAACACGUGAGCAAUCUGCCCCUGACUCUGGGAUAAGCGCUGGAAACGGCGUCUAAUACUGGAUACGAGCUGCGAAGGCAUCUUCAGCAGCUGGAAAGAACUUCGGUCAGGGAUGAGCUCGCGGCCUAUCAGCUUGUAGGUGAGGUAACGGCUCACCAAGGCGUCGACGGGUAGCCGGCCUGAGAGGGUGACCGGCCACACUGGGACUGAGACACGGCCCAGACUCCUACGGGAGGCAGCAGUGGGGAAUAUUGCACAAUGGGCGAAAGCCUGAUGCAGCAACGCCGCGUGAGGGACGACGGCCUUCGGGUUGUAAACCUCUUUUAGCAGGGAAGAAGCGAAAGUGACGGUACCUGCAGAAAAAGCGCCGGCUCCCUACGUC